rnacentral:rRNA from 1 species
UACAGAGGGUGCGAGCGUUGUUCGGAAUUAUUGGGCGUAAAGGGCGCGUAGGCGGUGCGGUAAGUCACCUGUGAAAUCUCCUGGCUCAACUGGGAGCUUGCAGGCGAAACUGCCGUGCUGGAGUGUGGGAGAGGUGCGUGGAAUUCCUGGUAUAGCGGUGAAAUGCGUAGAUAUCAGGAGGAACACCUGUGGCGAAAGCGGCGCACUGGACCACAACUGACGCUGAGGCGCGAAAGCUAGGGGAGCAAACAGG